AGCUCCAAUAGCGUAUAUUAAAGUUGUUGCAGUUAAAAAGCUCGUAGUUGGAUUUCGGAGCGGCCCGGCCGGUCCGCCGAAAGGCGAGCACUGGUCUGGCGCUCUUCCUCUCGAAGGCUUCGACUGCGCUUCGUUGUUGUGGUCGAGGAGUUCGGGACGUUUACUUUGAAAAAAUUAGAGUGUUCAAGGCAGGCCGUGGCCUGAAUACAUUAGCAUGGAAUAAUGGAAGAGGACCUCGGUCCUAUUUUGUUGGUUUCCAGGGCCGAAGUAAUGAUUGAGAGGGACAGUUGGGGGCAUUCGUAUUUAAUUGUCAGAGGUGAAAUUCUCGGAUUUAUGAAAGACGAACAAGUGCGAAAGCAUUUGCCAAGGAUGUUUUCAUUAAUCAAGAACGAAAGUACGC
rnacentral:rRNA from 1 species